rnacentral:lncRNA from 1 species
AUGCUUAUCCCUUAUUUAUACAUGGGAGACAAUUGUUACAGAAUCUAAACCAGGGUGUGCGGUGGCUACGAUAGGAAUAUGGGGACUCAUCGGUCGCAGUGGUUGUUGUGGUACUAGCGCGCGUGCGACGGGAUAGUUGAACCAGGAAGAGGUAAGGCUAAAAUCUCUGGUAAGCAGGUUGAAUCUCCCUUAAUCUUGAUUUCAUUGUUAUAUUUUGAUGUAUUCUUGUUUAUGCUGCUGAAUAAUCGUCACAUGAAAGGUCCGAUGUCACUGAUUUGAUUUCAAGAAGACGAUACAUAACACUUAAUUAUAUAAAUAACAAAUACUACCUACAGUUAUGAAGCAAUGAAAAAAGAGAUGGAUGAGUUUAGUACUUUCUUGAUAUGAAGUACAAAAUGGGAAUUAACUUUUUUUUUUCUUAUCUCUCGUGCUAAAUGCAGAUAUGGAUCUAAGUUACAAAAGUUUUCUUCAUGAAUGGAAAAUAGACACAAAAGUAAAAGGCAUUCUGGUUGAUGGGACGUUGAUCAUUUCCUUUUAGUAAGGUAUCAAGAACUAAACCAUCUGGUCCUAAUUUGGUUGAGUAAUGGCACUUAAGAUAGUGACUGCAUGUCAUCAUGGUGUGGUUUUCAUAUGGGAGAUAGGUGUUAGACUUAUGUUGAGCCAAGAGAAUCAUUGGAUGAUAUUGGUAGCUAAAUCGUAUUAGCUAACUUCAAGUGAUACCGAAGAUCAUCAGAGUCAGGUUAUAACAAUCGAGGAGGAGGAACUGAAACCGAACAAGAAGAAACUAAGACAACACAAAGAGCAAUAUUAGCAAUAGUUGCGUUGAUGACCUGACAUAGGAUGUUAGUUAAAACUUAUUCCCUACAUAUUAUUAGUUGAUUUAUCUAAUAUUGUUUUAUAUUUUAGAAUUGAUCAACCAAGUUAAUUAAUUUGUAUGUUUAAUU